rnacentral:rRNA from 1 species
CCUACGGGUGGCACCAGUGGGGAAUUUUGGACAAUGGGCGAAAGCCUGAUCCAGCAAUGCCGCGUGUGUGAAGAAGGCCUUCGGGUUGUAAAGCACUUUUGUCCGGAAAGAAAUGGCUCUGGUUAAUACCUGGGGUCGAUGACGGUACCGGAAGAAUAAGGACCGGCUAACUACGUGCCAGCAGCCGCGGUAAUACGUAGGGUCCAAGCGUUAAUCGGAAUUACUGGGCGUAAAGCGUGCGCAGGCGGUUGUGCAAGACCGAUGUGAAAUCCCCGAGCUUAACUUGGGAAUUGCAUUGGUGACUGCACGGCUAGAGUGUGUCAGAGGGGGGUAGAAUUCCACGUGUAGCAGUGAAAUGCGUAGAGAUGUGGAGGAAUACCGAUGGCGAAGGCAGCCCCCUGGGAUAACACUGACGCUCAUGCACGAAAGCGUGGGGAGCAAACAGGAUUAGAUACCCUAGUAGUC